rnacentral:tRNA from 1 species
GGGCGCAUAGCUCAGUUGGUUAGAGCGCAUGGAUCACACCCAUGAGGUCCGGGGUUCGAGUCCCUGUGCGCCCACCA